GGGGAUGUAGUUAACAAUAAUAUUUAAUUUGCAAUUAAAAGAUACUUUCUAGUCUUCCUCA
rnacentral:tRNA from 1 species